ensembl:lncRNA
CACUAGUUUGGGUGGAACCAAAGUAUAACGAGGAAGCUUGAGCUGGCAAAGUUUCUUGCCCAAAUGCAUCAACAUGAAUUUCUGGGCAUCUGUGCUCAAUGUGAAGCACCUGCUCAUGUAAGAAAGCUGCAAACCCCAGUUUUCACUUUGACUGGGCAGCGUGGCUCUCCUUCAAUGACUGCAGACAGGACACCAGCUGUGAGCAAGGACGGGCAGGAAGGAAGCAAACUCUGGUGUCGGAUGGGGACACAACCAGAGCCUCGGCCUUCUGCUGCCAUGCUGUGGAUUGAGCGUUUCAUUCACGCAAAUGCACAUUUCCUGGCAGUGCUGGGGCUGGCCUGGAAUCCAGACCUGGUCUGCUCAAGAGCAAGGUCGAUCUGUGGACUGCUCUUCUGGAAGAUGCCAUCAGGAGAAGGCAUGGAGUUGUAUGCCUAAAACAGAUGAAGAUGAUUUUCUCAACACUGCAUCCAAGUAAGUGCUGUAAGUAGUAUGCAAGUUAGACAAAGUAUGCAAAAAAUCACAUUUCAAGACACAAAGGAUGUCUGAGCAGAAUUAUGCAGAACUAUCUCAAACAGCAAUGCUGAGUACCAACAAAUGCAUCUUGUAAUGCAGCCCUGCUGAGCCUGAGCCAGCAUGAAGGCAGCUGGGCAAGGGAGCUGCUCUGCUCUGCUCUGCAAAACCCUGUACUGGGAGCAGUCCUCUCCUUUCUAGGCUCUAACACUUCAUGUCAGAGAUGUUUCCUAUACGUUAGGACACUGUGUUUGGUAUUUUCACUUACACAGGAUUAAAGACAGUCCCAGUGAAAGGGAUGAUCUACUAGUUAGAUGAACUGAGCAGCUGUACGCUUGGUCUGUGGGACAUGAAAUAGGAGAAAGAAGGAGGGAAAACCUUGUCUGGUAAUGUGGGUAGAAGAGAGAGACAGGAGGUAUCCCACAUACUGCUUAGCCUGCCUUGAGUAUAAUUGCCAGUGGAGUGGUUGCGAGUUGCUAGGUGUGAAUCCCACAGCAGCCUGCUGUAAUUAAGCAUCCUGCAAUGAGAGGAAGGAUGAGUGCUGCAAGAAGCUCAUCAGCAGCUCUGCAGCACCUCUCCGUGCACCCUGCAGAUGCCCUUUGGAAAUCUUUGCAUGUUUUGUGUUUGUUUCAGAGCCAGGAACAUAUGUUGGCAAAUGCAGAGGUGUUAAGUGUUGGCCAACCUAUCCCAACAUGCUCUACAAGGUACUGAAGGGAAUAUUAUUCUUAAAUGGAUGAUGAGCUCACUUCAGAGGCUGUUAAGUUAAAGCUUAUUACCCUCAUUAAGAGAUGUGUGUAAUGUGGUUUCAGGCUUCUGAUACAGGAAAAACAACAUUUUCCAAGUGUAUUGUUGUCCCCCCUGUUACGCUUGGAAAUGAAUUCAGUUUCUAUUUUCCAUUGGGUCAAAUUUAGCUUGGAGAUAAGAU